AACGAACGCUGGCGGCAUGCCUAAUACAUGCAAGUCGAACGAGAUCUUCGGAUCUAGUGGCGCACGGGUGCGUAACGCGUGGGAAUCUACCCUUGGGUUCGGAAUAACAGUUAGAAAUGACUGCUAAUACCGGAUGAUGACGUAAGUCCAAAGAUUUAUCGCCCAAGGAUGAGCCCGCGUAGGAUUAGCUAGUUGGUGAGGUAAAAGCUCACCAAGGCGACGAUCCUUAGCUGGUCUGAGAGGAUGAUCAGCCACACUGGGACUGAGACACGGCCCAGACUCCUACGGGAGGCAGCAGUAGGGAAUAUUGGACAAUGGGGGCAACCCUGAUCCAGCAAUGCCGCGUGAGUGAUGAAGGCCUUAGGGUUGUAAAGCUCUUUUACCCGAGAUGAUAAUGACAGUAUCGGGAGAAUAAGCUCCGGCUAACUCCGUGCCAGCCGCCGCGGUAA
rnacentral:rRNA from 1 species